rnacentral:rRNA from 1 species
GACGAACGCUGGCGGCGUGCUUAACACAUGCAAGUCGAACGGAGAUUUUUAUUUCGGUAAAGAUCUUAGUGGCAAACGGGUGAGUAACGCGUGGAUAAUCUACCCGACGGACCGGGAUAACAUUUCGAAAGGGGUGCUAAUACCGGAUAAGACCACGGCUUCUUAGGGGGCUGCGGUAAAAGGUGGGGAUUGGCCUAUUUCCUAUCAGCUAGUUGGUGAGGUAACGGCCCACCAAGGCGAUGACGGGUAGCGGGACUGAGAGGUUGACCCGCCACAUCGGGACUGAGACACUGCCCGGACCUCCACGGAGGGCUGCAGUAACGAAUAUUGCGCAAUGGGCGAAAGCCUGACGCAGCGACGCCGCGUGUAGGACGAAGCCCCUCGGGGUGUAAACUACUGU